GACUUCGAACCGGGAGCAUUACUGGUCGUGAUUGGGCGUAAAGAGUACAUAGAUUGUUGAGGUAGUUCUAUUAAAAAAAAUAAGGGUGAUCUUAGAUAAUAUAAGACCCUCAUACUUGAACUUAAUUAGUGGGUAUAGCACGAGUAUUUUAGCGAUUAAAUGCGUAGCAUACUAGGUCUCUCAGAGAAUGUAUUAAUACUCAACUUUAAGUUGACAUUGACGUACUAAAGUACGGGCAUCGAUAAGGAUUAGGCACCCUUGUAGUCCGUACCCUGAAUGAUGAGUGUUGGUCACAGUGCUGACUAAGCUUACGCGAAAACGCUUCGCCUGGGGAGUACAAUCGCAAGAUUAAAAGCUAAUAAGAUUGGCGGGAGUUUGUCUAAAUACUGGGGCACGUGGUUCAAUUCGACAGUACGCGUCAUACUUUACCCGCGAUGCGCAAAUGGAUUAAUCUACUACUCAAAAUGGUUAUACUAUUUUAUGGGAUUAAUAUUUUUGGAUUGGAGCUGCAUGGCUGUCGGCAAUUCGUAAUGUGGGAGUUCAUGUUGAGUCAUGGUACGAAUGCAAUCUUGGGUAUUUAAUUAUAGUUAGUAGAUUUUAUUUAUAUAAAAUUUAUUAGUAUAAUGAGUAUCAGUGGACGCACUUAUUAAAUAUUUGUGUUUACUUUAGGUGAGCCGAAGUCAAGUCAAUAUGGCCUAAAUUUACGGGGCUACACAUGUGCCACAAAGAUAAAAACAAAGAGAAGCGACGGUGCAAGCCAAAGCAAUUCUUUAAAAAUUAUCUCAGUGCAGAUUAUAUGUUGCAAGUCACAUAUAUGACGUAGUAAUUAUUAGUAAUCGUAGAUAAGAACGCUACGGUGAAUGUUUCUUUCUAACUUUGCACACACUGCCCAUCACCCUCAGCUAAAUGAGCAUGCGCCGGUGUUGAAUAGUUAGGGAGUAUUUAUUUACUUGGCCUUGACUAUAUAAGCUAAUGUUGGCACAGGUUUGUCGAUCCGAGGUAAGUUG
rnacentral:rRNA from 1 species